AUACGGAGGGUGCAAGCGUUAUCCGGAAUUAUUGGGUUUAAAGGGUCCGUAGGCGGCUCGAUAAGUCAGUGGUGAAAUUCUCUCGCUCAACGAGAGACCUGCCAUUGAUACUGUCUUGGCUAGAGUUACAGUGAGGUGAGUGGAAUGUGUAGUGUAGCGGUGAAAUGCAUAGAUAUUACACAGAACACCGAUUGCGAAGGCAGCUCACUAACUGUAUACUGACGCUGAUGGACGAAAGCGUGGGGAGCAAACAGGAUUAGAAACCCCAGUAGUCC
rnacentral:rRNA from 1 species